CUGGGAUAUCCAAUGGAGUGGAAUGGCUCUCUAUCCUGUCGAUCUAGGAGAAGCUCGGAUAUUUUUGAGGCUGCUGACGAGUCUACUAUUGUUAGAUGACUUAAGCGCUGAUGCUACAGGCAGAAGUCAUCUGCUGUAGAAGCUCGGAUGGAGACUUUCUAUUGGUGAAGUCCGGUAGGGGUCCGAUUGCUAGGGAAGUCCGUCUGGAAUUUGUCCGAUGUCGAAGCUCGUCUGAAGAUUAUCCGUCGGAGAAGUCUGGUUUCAUGAGGAAUCUGGCAGAGGGUCGGCUAGCGGUGGACCUCGGAUGGCGUUGGGGAGGUUCAGCAGACACCGGAGGCAAUCGACCGUUGUAGAAAUCCAGCUGCUGGAGUCCAUCCAUUGUAGAAGCUCAUUCGAUAUCCAUCCGCUAUGGAAGUUCGGACGGAGUCUAGUUCUCGUAGAAGACUGAAAGGAGAUUGCUUAUUGUAGAAGCUCGAUCGAAGAUCUGUUGUCGUGGGAGCUCGGAGUAGCGACCUAGCCGACGGGUCCUGUCCCAUUGUAGAAGCUCGUCUGGGAUUCGGCUACGAAGAAGCUCGGCUGAAGUCUACCUAUAAUAGAAGUUCGAAAGAAAUAUAUUUACAGUAGAGGCUUGAAUGGAAUUUGCUUACAGCAGAUAUCCAGGGUAGACCGCCCGCUGUAGGAGUUCAGAGUGGACUGCUCGUAGUAGAAGUUCGGCUCUCUCGGGAGCUCGGGUGGAGUCUGAAAGGCGGUCGACUGCUGUAGUAACUUGGAUGAAGUUUGGUUACUGUAGAAAUCUAUGUUGUCAGAGAAGCUCAGAUAUUGACAUAGUUCAAAAGAAGUUCGGAGUAGGAUCAUCCACGGCCAGAAGAAGUCUGGAAGGAAUUCAGAGAAUAGUUGAUCACUGUAGAAGGUUGGCUGAUAAUGAGGCCUAGAGAGCCUUCGGAGUGGCCUGAUAGAUGAAUGGUGAAGCUCAUUGUCCGAGAAGUCCGAAAGCUCGGACGGUCAAGGGGGUUCAGAGAGGUGCCACAC
rnacentral:lncRNA from 1 species